AUUGAACGCUGGCGGCAGGCCUAACACAUGCAAGUCGAGCGAGCGGCGGACGGGUGAGUAAUGUCUGGGAAACUGCCUGAUGGAGGGGGAUAACUACUGGAAACGGUAGCUAAUACCGCAUACCAUCAGAUGUUCCCAGAUGUGGUUAGCUAGUAGGUGUGGUAACGGCUCACCGAGGCGACGAUCCCUAGCUGGUCUUACAGGAUGACCAGCCACACGGGAGCUGAGACACGGUCCAGACUCCUACGGGAGGCAGCCGUGGGGAAUCUUGCACAAUGGGCGCAAGCCUGAUGCAGCCAUGCCGCGUGUGUGAAGAAGGCCUUCGGGUUGUAAAGUACUUUCAGCGGGGAGGCGUUACCCGCAGAAGAAGCACCGGCUAACUCCGUGCCAGCAGCCGCGGUAAUUC
rnacentral:rRNA from 1 species